rnacentral:rRNA from 1 species
UACGGAGGAUGCAAGCGUUAUCCGGAAUGAUUGGGCGUAAAGCGUCCGCAGGUGGCUGUGUAAGUCUGCUGUCAAAGAGCAAAGCUCAACUUUGUAAAGGCAGUGGAAACUACACGGCUAGAGUGCGUUCGGGGCAGAGGGAAUUCCUGGUGUAGCGGUGAAAUGCGUAGAUAUCAUUUGGAACGCCAACGGCGAAAGCAGACGGCUGGGGGUGUCCUGACGCUGAGACGCGAAAGCCAGGGGAGCGAACGGG